rnacentral:lncRNA from 1 species
UUAUCCAUGCACUACGUCCAAGGAUAUUCGUUAUUAUCACUAGUGGUCAUGAUCAUGUCAUACACCUGUCCAUCUUCGCACUACGGGUCAAAGCUAUCAAACAACAGAUCAUCUUUGCACUACAGGCCAAAGAUAUUCAACAACAUAUCAUCUUUGCACUACAGGCCAAAGACAUACAACUGUAAAACCCAUAACCAACAGUAUAAUAAAG